rnacentral:rRNA from 1 species
GCUAAAAAUCUAGCCUAUUUUACCCUAAUGAACAUAUCUAUUUUUCAAAAUAAAUUAAAACAUUUUAACAUUUUAGUAGGGGAGACCAAAAAAUUAUCUAGAGCUACAAAAAUAGUACCGCAAGGGAAAAAUGAAAUAAUAAUUAAAUAACCUUAAGCACAAAAAAGUAAAGAUUAUCCCUUGUACCUUUUGCAUCAUGAUUUAACUAGUUCAACCAAGCAUAAAGCAUUAUAGUUUGACACCCCGAAACUAAGUGAGCUACUUCAGGGCAGCUUUAAGAGCAAACCCGUCUCUGUUGCAAAAGAGUGGGACGACCCUCAAGUAGAAGUGACAGACCUAACGAACUUAGUGAUUGCUGGUUACUCAAGAAAAGGAUUUUAGUCCAGCCUAAAGCUUUCAUUAUAAACAGAAAUUUUUAAGCUUUAGAGUAAUUCAAAUAAGGUACAGCCUAUUUGAAAUAGGAUACAACCUCAACUGACGGGUAAUAAAUUUAGUUACUUAACUUAGUGGGCCUAAAAGCAGCCAUCUCUAAAAAGCGUCAAAGCUUAAUUAAAUUAUCUAAUCAAUUUCUUCAUUCACCUCCAACCCUCUUCUAUUAUUGAGUAAUUCUAUACAGUUAUAGAAUUUAUUAUGUUAAAACUAGUAACAAGAAGCUAACCUUCUCUUAAAUGUAAGUAUAGAUCAGUAAGGAUAACCCGCUGAUAAUUAACGCCUUUGAAUAAAUAUUAAUAACUAUACAAGAAAAACCUAAUAUAAAUUACGUUAAACUAACACAAGGACACUUCAAGAAAGAUUAAAAGAAAAAGAAGGAACUCGGCAAAUCUUAACCCCGCCUGUUUACCAAAAACAUCGCCUCUUGAAUUAAUAUAAGAGGUCCA